rfam:Myotis brandtii contig245800, whole genome shotgun sequence.
GCCAGGUUGGCUCAAAGGAUAGAGCAUUGGCCUCUGGACCGAAGGGUUCCAGGUUCAAUUCCUGGUCAGGGCA